rfam:Populus trichocarpa scaffold_6_contig_105, whole genome shotgun sequence.
UCUAGAACUCGAGAUAUAGGCUGAACUCCGAACAGUGUCUGGGCUGCAGAAUAGAUUCAGAUUUUUCUUUUGUUGCUAAGAUUUAAACUUGAAAAUGAUAGCUUUGAAUCUUGGACUCUUCAUGAAUAUUUUAGGCUUAUAUCUUAGAUUUCCAUC